GACCGAUAGUGAACCAGUACCGUGAGGGAAAGUGAAAAGUACUUCGAAUAGAAGGUGAAAUAGAUCCUGAAACCAUACGCUUACAAGCUGUCGGAGCCCUCUUAAUUUUAUUAGGAGUAGGGUGACGACGUGCCUUUUGCAUAAUGAACCUACGAGUUAAUUUUUCCGGCAAGGUUAAGUAGUUCAGCUAUGGAGCCGUAGCGAAAGCGAGUCUGAAUAGGGCAUUUAGUCGGAAGAAUUAGACGCGAAACCGAGUGAUCUACCCAUGAGCAGGUUGAAGCUGUGGUAACACAUAGUGGAGGACCGAACCGGUUGACGUUGAAAAGUCUUCGGAUGACUUGUGGGUAGGGGUGAAAGGCUAAUCAAACUCGGAGAUAGCUCGUACUCCCCGAAAUGCAUUUAGGUGCAGCAUCGUGUUAAAUAUGACAGAGGUAGAGCUACUGAUUGGAUGAAGGGUUUCAUCACCUACUAAUUCCUGAUAAACUCCCAAUGCUGUUACUAUGUUUCACGGUAGUGAGGGCAUGGGUGCUAAGAUCCAUGUCCAAGAGGGAAACAACCCAGACCAUCAGUUAAGGUCCCUAAGUAUAUAUUAAGUUGUAUAACAAAGUUUAAUUACAGACAGCAGGAUGUUGGCUUAGAAGCAG
rnacentral:rRNA from 1 species